rnacentral:tRNA from 1 species
GCCACCUUAGCUCAGUUGGUAGAGCAAUGGUUUCGUAAACCAUAGGUCGUCUGUUCGAGUCAGAUAGGUGGCUCCA